rnacentral:rRNA from 1 species
UACGUAGGGGGCAAGCGUUGUCCGGAAUCAUUGGGCGUAAAGCGCGCGUAGGCGGCCCUGUAAGUCCGCUGUGAAAGUCAAAGGCUCAACCUUUGAAAGCCGGUGGAUACUGCAGGGCUAGAGUCCGGAAGAGGCGAGUGGAAUUCCUGGUGUAGCGGUGAAAUGCGCAGAUAUCAGGAGGAACACCAAUUGCGAAGGCAGCUCGCUGGGACGUAACUGACGCUGAGACGCGAAAGCGUGGGGAGCAAACAGG